rnacentral:miRNA from 11 species
GGUGGACAGUUCCAAAGGGAUCGCAUUGAUCCCAUGGUUAUCUUCCACCUCUCUUACCAGACUAUCAUAACAAAGUCUGGCCUUUUUCCCAUUGGAUCAUGCUAUCCCUUAGGAACUCUCCAUCA